rnacentral:rRNA from 1 species
AUGCACGCUGGCGGCGUGCCUCAUCCAUGCAAGUCGCGCGCACAGACGAGGAGCUUGCUCCUCUGACGUUAGCGGCGGACGGGUGAGUAACACGUGGAUAACCUACCUAUAAGACUGGGAUAACUUCGGGAAACCGGAGCUAAUACCGGAUAAUAUAUUGAACCGCAUGGUUCAAUAGUGAAAGACGGUUUUGCUGUCACUUAUAGAUGGAUCCGCGCCGCAUUAGCUAGUUGGUAAGGUAACGGCUUACCAAGGCAACGAUGCGUAGCCGACCUGAGAGGGUGAUCGGCCACACUGGAACUGAGACACGGUCCAGACUCAGACGGGAGGCAGCAGUAGGGAAUCUGCCGCAAUGGGCGAAAGCUUGACGGAGCAACGCCGCGUGAGUGAUGAAGGUCUUCGGAUCGUAAAACUCUGUUAUUAGGGAAGAACAAAUGUGUAAGUAACGAUGCACGUCUUGACGGUACCUAAGCAGAAAGCCACGGCUAACUACGU